rnacentral:misc_RNA from 1 species
ACCGCAGUGGAUGCCUCUGG